rnacentral:pre_miRNA from 1 species
UCUUCAUUUCACACACUCUCUCGAAGCUCUGACCGGUGAGAGAGUGGGGGAAAUGAAGAGA